UCACCAUAAUAGCAAUCUCUACAUCUUUGAAUUUCAAGCAAUGACAAGUGCCCUCGAGGUUCUCUACAUCUUUGAAUUUCAAGCAAUGACAAGUGCCCUCGAGGUGAAUUAUUCUCACUUCAAUCCUCUUCUUGUAAUCUUAAUCUUGAUUUCUCUGUUAUCAACCUCUAUUCAUAUUAUGGCUAAAACUAGUCUAGCUACCGAUCAAUCCGCGCUUUUGGCCUUGAAAUCUCAUAUCUCUUUCGACCCUAAUGGAAUCCUCAACAAUUGGACCAUUACAUCUCCUGUUUGCGAUUGGUUUGGUGUUGCAUGUGGAAUCCGCCAUCAUAGAGUAACAGGAUUGAAUAUUUCUUUCCUAGGCCUUGCUGGAAGUAUUCCUCCCGAGUUCGGAAACCUAUCGUUUCUUGUUUCACUUGAUAUCAAAGGAAACAACUUCAGUGGGACUGUUCCAGUAGAAUUAGCUCUUUUCCGAAGAUUGACUUAUAUCAGACUGAGUUAUAACAAAUUUGACAGGGAGGUUUCUUAUUGGUUUUCUUCAUUUGCAGAGCUUAAAUAUUUAUCUAUUAGGAAUAACAAUUUUACAAGCUUGAAUUCAUUUAUCCAAUCAUUCUCAAAUGAACCAAAGCUUGAACAAUUGAUCUUAUCUUGCAAUCCUUUCCAAACUGAAAUUCCAAAUUCAUUAGGUAAUCUUCAUCUUCUCAAAGUACUUGUCAUGGAAAGCAAUGGUCUUUCAGGGUCUAUCCCUCAUUCAGUCACAAACUUGACAAACUUAGAAUUUUUGUAUUUGUCAAACAAUAGUAUUAGCGGAAUCAUACCACAAGAAACUGAGAAUUUAAAAAUUCUUAAAGAGCUACAACUUGACCGCAACAAAUUAACAAGUACGUUUAUUUGUCAAAAUUAUUUAUUUUAUUAUUUUUGGAAGUGCUAAUUAUAUUUAUAAGGUUAUAAAAUAGAAAUGGAUAAUAAAACCUCAUAUUAAAAUUUUCAAGUUAAAGAAAAAUAAUAAUUUGAUUGAUAUUAUGAGAAAAAAAAGAUAUAUAUUCACUUUACAAAAUAAACCAUAAUUAUCAUAGUUCUAUUUCAUAACUUGAUUACACAAUUGGUAUGUUUCUUUUGAGUGAGUUUUAGGAAAAAUCAAUAAAUAAAGAGAAUGAAUAAUAGAUGAUAUGGAAUAGCAGGGCGAAUCGCAGUCUCAAUCAAGAAGUUGGACAAAUUUAGAGACAUUGAAUUUGCAAGGUAAUGCUCUUGAAGGGACGAUACCGGACAUUAUCAAGUCUUGAGAACUUGUACUAGAACAUGAAUGACAACAAGCUUUCUUGUUUUAUACCAUCAAGCAUCUUCAACAUAUCAUCCCUUCAACUUUUAUUCUUGAACAAUAAUAACUUCUCGGGUACUCUCCCAAGUAACAUGUGCCUUGGAGUUCCACUACUGAAGAAGUUUAUUAUACAAAGAAACAGGAUGCAAGGACGAAUUCCAUCAAAUUAUUCAUCAUGUCCUCAACUUCAAGUAUUAUCAUUGGCUGUUAACAAUUUUACCGGAAGCAUACCAGAAGACAUUGGAAGGUUACAAUGGCUUCAAGGGCUAUUUCUUGCUGAGAACUCCUUGACAGUCCAAUGAAAUACUUGCAGGCUCUAUACCAUCAAGUAUUUUCAACAUAUCCACCCUUCAAGUCAUGAAUUCUUGGUCUAAUGGUUUGUCUGGUACCCUUCCACAUGACAUGUGCCUUCGACUUCCGGUGCUCUAUGAGCUUUCUCUAAAUUAUAAUAUGAUUCAUGGACCUAUUCCAUCAAAUUUUUCUUCAUGUCCCCCAACUUCAGAUCCUUCAAUUGGGAUAUAACAAUUUAACUGGAUCGAUACCACAAGAUAUCAGGAGUUCAAACACACUUGUAACCUUGGAUUUUGAAGACAACCAGUUUACAGGUACAAUACCGUCUUCCAUUGAAAAUCUAUGGAGUCUUACAAGUCUCGUACUUCAGUCCAACAUGUUGACAGGGUUGGUUCCAGCAUCCAUAUGCAACUUUAGCUCAAUUGAAAUUCUCAUUUUACCAAAUAACAGGUUGGAAGGAACACUACCAAAUUGUUUAGGAAACUUUAGUGAAACUCUGGCAGUGCUGGCUUUGUCGAAAAAUCGCUUUCAUGGCCCCAUCCCAACUACAUUUACCACUGGUUGUGAAUUGAAGUAUCUUAGCUUGUGCUACAACCAACUAGGAGGAACCUUGCCUCGAUCCUUGGCCAGUUGCACACAAUUACAGGCUCUUGAUAUUGGGUAUAAUGGCAUACAAGACUCUUUUCCUAUUUGGUUGGAAACUCUUCCAAAGCUUGGAGUUCUUAGUUUAAGUUCCAACAGAUUUCAUGGCACAAUACCUGAUUCAGAGAGGAACAUUUCAUUUCCCAGCUUGAGAGUUUUUGACAUCUCCAAGAAUGAUUUCACUAGUUACUUGCCAAUUACUUGUUUAAAGCAUUUUGGUGAACUAUGGGAUACAGGGAGAGAAUCACAACUCUAUUUUGAUCUCAUCUAUACAGCAACAAACUAUAAAGUGUGAUUAAUUACAUUCCAGUAACUGUUACUUUGAAAGGUUUUCCGACAAACUAUGAUAGGAUACAAACAACAUUCACUAUGAUUGAUUAGUCGAGCAACAAGUUCCAUGGAAACAUUCCGGAUUCCUUUCGAAAUCUUAGAGUUCAACAUUGCGCACAACAAUCUUUCAGGAGAGAUACCACUCUGGUAGCCAGUUCGAUACAUUUGAUAACAGCUCAUACAUUGGAAACUCAGAGUUAUGCGGACAUCCAUUGACUAAGACAUGUGAGGAUGAAAACAAGUUGCCUUCAAAAGAAGAAGGCGUGCUGAGGCUGAGAGCAUACUUGAUGGACUUACUUGGCAAGGUGUCGGCUUUGGAUUAUUCGUCGGAGUUGUCCUCGGCGCUAUAUUCUUGUAGUAAUAAAAAAUUUAUAAAGUUAAAAGGCAAGUGUUGUUGAACCAUUUAUCUAGUGUUUUAAUUUCUUCAAAAUUCUUAGUUGUGAAUAAUAGUUAAGCAUAUUAAAAAU